GAUGAAGAACGUAGCGAAAUGCGAUAAGUAAUGUGAAUUGCAGAAUUCAGUGAAUCAUCGAAUCUUUGAACGCACAUUGCGCCCAUUAGUAUUCUAGUGGGCAUGCCUGUUCGAGCGUCAUUUCAACCCUUAAGCCUAGCUUAGUAUUGGGAAUCGACUUUACUGUCGUUCCUCAAAUUCAACGGCGGAUUUAUAGCAAUCUCUGAACGUAGUAAUUUUUUUCCUCGUUUUUGAAAUACUAUAAACCUCAGCCGCUAAACCCCCAAUUUUUCUAUGGUUGACCUCGGAUCAGGUAGGAAUACCCGCUGAAUUUAAGCAUAUCAAUAAGCGGAGGA
rnacentral:misc_RNA from 1 species